AUCUGCCUCUGCCCUAUACUCUGGAGUAACUUUUCCACCUUCUGUUCCUCUAUAAAAUCUUUCUUAAUCCCCUCUCCUUGUUUAAUCUGAAAUGAAAACUGGAGAAGGCGGGAACGUCCAGCAGGUCCACUGUCGAUUGGAUUGCUCUUUGUCUGGAAACUUCCCGCCAUGGGUGACCUUACCAGGAGCUAAAUGUCAGAUGGCUGAACUUGAGGCGGCUUCGCUCUCGGGAUCUCAGGAACUCACAACAAGGCUGUAAUGGCAUCUGAAGCUGAAUGCCAUGGCUGAAUGCACACUGAAUGACAAUGGGCAGACAAUCAGAGUGGAGGUGCUGUUUGAGAGUACUGUCGAUG